rnacentral:rRNA from 1 species
UACGGAGGAUGCGAGCGUUAUCCGGAUUUAUUGGGUUUAAAGGGUGCGCAGGCGGCACGGCAAGCCGGCGGUCAAAUCGCGGGGCUCAACCCCGCCCAGCCGUCGGAACUGCCGGGCUAGAGUGGGCGAGAAGUGCGCGGAAUGCGUGGUGUAGCGGUGAAAUGCAUAGAUAUCACGAAGAACUCCGAUUGCGAAGGCAGCGCACCGGCGCCCUACUGACGCUCAGGCACGAAAGCGUGGGUAUCGAACAGG